AAGCGUAAUAGCUCACUGGUCGAGUCGGCCUGCGCGGAAGAUGUAACGGGGCUAAGCGAUACACCGAAGCUGCGGCAAUGCGAUUUAUCGUAUUGGGUAGGGGAGCGUUGUGUAAGCCGUUGAAGGUGUGCUGAGAGGCAUGCUGGAGGUAUCACAAGUGCGAAUGCUGACAUGAGUAACGAUAAAGGGGGUGAAAAACCUCCUCGCCGGAAGACCAAGGGUUCCUGUCCAACGUUAAUCGGGGCAGGGUAAGUCGGCCCCUAAGGCGAGGCCGAAAGGCGUAGUCGAUGGGAAACGGGUUAAUAUUCCCGUACUGCUACUUACUGCGAUGGGGGGACGGAGAAGGCUAGGUGGGCCUGGCGACGGUUGUCCAGGUUCAAGGGUGUAGGCUGUAAUCUUAGGCAAAUCCGGGAUUACGCACGGUCGAGACC
rnacentral:rRNA from 1 species